UACGAAGGGUGCAAGCGUUACUCGGAAUUACUGGGCGUAAAGGGUGCGUAGGUGGUUGUUUAAGUCUGUUGUGAAAGCCCCGGGCUCAACCUGGGAAUGGCAAUGGAUACUGGACAGCUAGAGUGCGGUAGAGGGUAGUGGAAUUCCCGGUGUAGCAGUGAAAUGCGUAGAGAUCGGGAGGAACACCAGUGGCGAAGGCGGCUACCUGGACCACAACUGACGCUGAGGCGCGAAAGCUAGGGGAGCAAACAGG
rnacentral:rRNA from 1 species